UGGGGAAUUUUGCACAAUGGGGGAAACCCUGAUGCAGCGACGCCGCGUGAUUUAGAAGGCCUUCGGGUUGUAAAAAUCUUUUCUAUGGGAAGAAAAUGACAGUACCAUAGGAAUAAGGACCGGCUAAUUACGUGCCAGCAGCCGCGGUAAUACGUAAGGUCCGAGCGUUGUCCGGAAUCAUUGGGCGUAAAGGGUACGUAGGCGGGUAAGCAAGUUAGAAGUGAAAUCCUAUAGCUCAACUAUAGUAAGCUUUUAAAACUGCUCAUCUUGAGGUAUGGAAGGGAAAGUGGAAUUCCUAGUGUAGCGGAGAAAUGCGCAGAUAUUAGGAGGAAUACCGGUGGCGAAAGCGACUUUCUGGCCAUAACCUGACGCUGAGGUACGAAAGCGUGGGUAGCAAACAGG
rnacentral:rRNA from 1 species